CUGUCUGGCUUUUAUGCAGGUCUCCCACCUGGUGGACACUCCCCUAGGGGACCAGACGGAAGACUGGGAAACAUAUUGGACAUUGACCAAUCACAAGCUUACAAUCCCACAAUGCAUCACAAUCCCUCCUCUCUGUCCUGGAGAUAAUUGGGAAGUAAUCCAAUUAUCUCCAAGGACAGAGACAAAACUCAAUUAACCACAUGGCAGACAAAGGACAAUAAAAGACAUAAAAAUACAUACUGUUACAUUUAUCACAUAGAACAUACACAUUCUACCUAUCCCUAGAUAGCUUAGAUCUGAGUGCACAUCAUUACCGGAUGGUGCUCAGAUCACAUACAUACAGUUCAAUUGCCAUGGAGCCAAAGUCUUUCAUACAGUCUUUCAGUAUACGGCUGGGCUCCAUAGCAUAGCUAUCUGAGGUAGCAUGGUUUAAACAGUAAAGUACUGAAUGGGCCAGUGUUCGGAUAAUUGACUACAGGUAGGAGAAGGGAGGUCGGCGGCUCAGCAGUGUUCGUGACUUUAACAGUCUGCAGAAAGGCACGAACCAGCCUUUCUGCAGGGAAAAAGAACAGUGUUAAACAUGGGGCCAUAGUUCAGUGGCACGAGGUGGGCGACCAGGCUCCUCCAGUGGCCAGUAGCGAGGUUGGUUCCGCCACAAUGUCCGUAUGUCUGUCAGUAUGAAUGCAUGUAUGUAUGUAUGUAUGUAUGUCUGUAUGUAUGUUAUUAUGUAUGUCAGUAUGUCUGUAUGCAUGUAUGUCUGUAUGCAUGUAUGUCUGUC